rnacentral:rRNA from 1 species
UACGUAGGGGGCAAGCGUUGUCCGGAUUUAUUGGGCGUAAAGAGCGUGUAGGCGGUUUGGUAGGUCCGCUGUGAAAACUCGAGCUCAACCUCGAGACGCCGGUGGAAACCAUCAGACUAGAGUCCGGAAGAGGAGAGUGGAAUUCCUGGUGUAGCGGUGAAAUGCGCAGAUAUCAGGAAGAACACCCGUGGCUAAGGCGGCUCUCUGGACCGUAACUGACGCUGAGGCGCGAAAGCGUGGGGAGCAAACAGG